rnacentral:rRNA from 1 species
GACGAACGCUGGCGGCGUGCUUAACACAUGCAAGUCGAACGGAAAGGCCCUGCUCUUGUGGGGUGCUCGAGUGGCGAACGGGUGAGUAACACGUGAGUAACCUGCCCUUGACUUUGGGAUAACUUCAGGAAACUGGGGCUAAUACCGGAUAGGAGCUCCUGCUGCAUGGUGGGGGUUGGAAAGUUUCGGCGGUUGGGGAUGGACUCGCGGCUUAUCAGCUUGUUGGUGGGGUAGUGGCUUACCAAGGCUUUGACGGGUAGCCGGCCUGAGAGGGUGACCGGCCACAUUGGGACUGAGAUACGGCCCAGACUCCUACGGGAGGCAGCAGUGGGGAAUAUUGCACAAUGGGCGGAAGCCUGAUGCAGCAACGCCGCGUGCGGGAUGACGGCCUUCGGGUUGUAAACCGCUUUCGCCUGUGACGAAGCGUGAGUGACGGUAAUGGGUAAAGAAGCACCGGCUAACUACGUGCCAGCAGCCGCGGUGAUACGUAGGGUGCGAGCGUUGUCCGGAUUUAUUGGGCGUAAAGGGCUCGUAGGUGGUUGAUCGCGUCGGAAGUGUAAUCUUGGGGCUUAACCCUGAGCGUGCCUUCGAUACGGGUUGACUUGAGGAAGGUAGGGGAGAAUGGAAUUCCUGGUGGAGCGGUGGAAUGCGCAGAUAUCAGGAGGAACACCAGUGGCGAAGGCGGUUCUCUGGGCCUUUCCUGACGCUGAGGAGCGAAAGCGUGGGGAGCGAACAGGCUUAGAUACCCUGGUAGUCCACGCUGUAAACGGUGGGUACUAGGUGUGGGGUCCAUUCCACGGGUUCCGUGCCGUAGCUAACGCUUUAAGUACCCCGCCUGGGGAGUACGGCCGCAAGGCUAAAACUCAAAGGAAUUGACGGGGCCCCGCACAAGCGGCGGAGCAUGCGGAUUAAUUCGAUGCAACGCGUAGAACCUUACCUGGGUUUGACAUGGAUCGGGAGUGCUCAGAGAUGGGUGUGCCUCUUUUGGGGUCGGUUCACAGGUGGUGCAUGGCUGUCGUCAGCUCGUGUCGUGAGAUGUUGGGUUAAGUCCCGCAACGAGCGCAACCCUUGUUCACUGUUGCCAGCACGUUAUGGUGGGGACUCAGUGGAGACCGCCGGGGUCAACUCGGAGGAAGGUGGGGAUGACGUCAAGUCAUCAUGCCCCUUAUGUCCAGGGCUUCACGCAUGCUACAAUGGCUGGUACAGAGAGUGGCGAGCCUGUGAGGGUGAGCGAAUCUCGGAAAGCCGGUCUCAGUUCGGAUUGGGGUCUGCAACUCGACCUCAUGAAGUCGGAGUCGCUAGUAAUCGCAGAUCAGCAACGCUGCGGUGAAUACGUUCCCGGGGCU